GGACUCCACACUGGGAUGAGCAGAGGCGUGCUGUUGCUGUGUGACACUGAUUUUGCUGCUCCACUUUGUGUUUUAGAAAUAAAUCCAGUUUCCAGCCAGUCUGUGUCUGUCGUCACAACGCAGUCAACCGUUUG